CAGAGGGAGACUGGUUGAACGGCAAGAGGCAGAUGGCCAGGCAGCUGACCCCACCGACGACGGAAAUGUUCUAUAACUGGAUUGUGGCGACAACCGCACAGCUCAACCACAUGCUACAGGAGGUCAAGUGCCAUGGCUCAUGUGUUCAUAGUGCCCAGCACAGAAGCAAGCACACAGUGAGGCAACUGAGGCGUUGCAACUGGAACUCAGAACCGUCAGGCUAGAAACCUCUUUCC